ACUCAAAUGAAUAGACGGGGGCCCGCACAAGCGGUGGAGCAUGUGGUUUAAUUCGACGCAACGCGAAGAACCUUACCUGGGCUCGAACGGCUGGUCAACGAUCGUGGAAACAUGGUUAUUCCGCAAGGAAGUCCAGUCGAGGUGCUGCAUGGCUGUCGUCAGCUCGUGUCGUGAGAUGUUGGGUUAAGUCCCGCAACGAGCGCAACCCUUGUCCUGUGUUGCCACCAUUAAGUUGGGAACUCUCAGGAGACCGCCAGCGAUAAGUUGGAGGAAGGUGGGGAUGACGUCAAGUCAUCAUGGCCUUUAUGUCCAGGGCUACACACGUGCUACAAUGGUCGGUACAAUUCGUCGCUAACCCGCGAGGGGGAGCUAAUCGCAAAAAACCGUCCUCAGUUCGGAUUGCAGGCUGCAACUCGCCUGCAUGAAGCUGGAAUCGCUAGUAAUGGCGUAUCAGAAUGACGCCGUGAAUACGUUCCCGGGCCUUGUACACACCGCCCGU
rnacentral:rRNA from 1 species